UUUUUUUCUGCAUCUUUCUCUUGAUAGGUCAUUUCAGUCAGUGCAUUAGAUGCCCUCUAGGAUCUUUCCUGCUUUGGCCUCUGUUUUAGUUACCUUUAGUUAUCACCCAUCUCUCUGUUACCCCUCACAGAAAAACUUCUUGGAAGAGUUGUUGAAAUUAAAUGUUGUCACCCCACCACCCAUUUUUCCUCAGCCCACUGCAGGUAGAUUGUAGUGCUCACACUCACUGGAACUACUUGUCUAGGCACCAGUAACUUCGUGUUGCCAGUUCAGCACUCAUCUCCUGUCCCUCUUCUACUCAGCCUCCCAUCAUUGGGCAUGAUUCAUUUCUUUUCUUUUUUUUUUUUUUUUUAAAGAUUUUAUUCAUUUAUUAAUGAGAGACACAGAGAGAGAGGCAGAGACACAGGCAGAGAGAGAAGCAGGCUCCAUGCAGGGAGCCCGAUGUGGGACUCGAUCCUGGGACUCCAGGAUCACGCCUUGGGCUGAAGGCUGCACCAAACUGCUGAGCCACCCGGGCUGCCCCAGGCAUGAUUCAUUUCUUAAUCAAGAAACACUCGCUUCUCUUGGUUUCCAUGAGUACAUGUUUCUGGUUUUCUUCCUAUCUUGCUGAUUGUUGCUUCUUGGUCCCUUUGCUGUCUUUUCUUCUUCGAUUCUAUGUUUAGAUGCUAAGUACCCCUGCCCUUGGCCUUGGAACCUCACUUCAUUUCUUCUGUAUAUAAUUUCUUUAAUUGAUUUCUUCCAUUCCCCAGGUUUCAAAUUCUAUCCAUAUGCUGAUGAGUCUCAAAACUAUAACUCCAGCCCUGACCUCUUCAUUCACCUCCAAAUUCAUAUUCCCAUGGCUUACAUGGCAUCUUCAUUUGAAUAUCUAAUAGAUACUUCUUUUUUUUUGUAACCCUUUAUUUUUAUUUAUUUUUUUUAAGGAUUUUAUUUAUUCAUUCAUAGAGACACAGAGAGAGAGGCAGAGACACAGGCAGAGGGAGAAGCAGGCCCCAUGCAGGGAGCCCAACGCGGGACUCGAUCCCAGGUCUCCAGGAUCACACCUUGGGCUGCAGGCAGCACUAAACCGCUGCGCCACUGGGGCUGCCCCUCUAAUAGAUAUUUCAAAACCACAUCCAAAGCAAUGGUCUUGAUCCCAUCCACCCAUCUCCACCUCCAACCUGUUUUUCCUUCAAGAAUUCCUAUAUGGCUUCAGUGUCUACCCAUUGACUUCAGGCAAAAACUUAAGAACUGUUUUCAAUUUUCUUUUUUUCUAUCCCCCUCCACUCCCUGCACUGCUCGCACCUCUGACUUCACUCUGGGGAUGUGCCCUGAGCAAUCUAAACCAGUCAUGGUAAUCCUGUACUCCUUGUUAGUGACCAGAACUAGAACUUUGGUCGAUAGCAAUUGGCAGGAGGGAUUGGUUUAUGAUUGUCAUGUGACAAAUCAGGUCAGUGAUACUGUGAGGUAGAGGAACUGUUGGGGGAACCCUUUCUUUUGAAAAUGUCAGUGAGGAACCGUGUGGCCCAAGUUCCACUCUCCACCGCCCUAUGAUCCUGUUCGAAGUUAUCCGGAGAAGGAAGUUAACCUGGAGGGCAGAAUGGAGAGAAAAGAACCCAGAUCAAAGAUGACAUAGUUGGUUGACUGGAUCACACAACCCUGAAACCCACUCUACAGCUGGAUUUCCAGUCCUGUGAGACAGUAAGUUUCCAUACUGUUUAAGCCACUUCGAAUUGGUUUUUUUGUUUCUUAUAAUUGAAAGCAAAGUAAUAGAUGCAAAGAGAAAGGCAAGUCCCCUGGGGAAAGACUCAUGAAAUUCCUGCCAGCUAGGUUCUUAGAUUGGGUUUGAAAAGGCCUGACUGUGAUUCCUGUUCUUUGAUUUCUGUGAGAUUCCUGGCUCCCCUAGAGCCCCCUGCAUCCAUACCUCAGGUGGCCUCUUGUACCUGAAAGGAUGUAACUAAAAUGAGAAAGCAUGCAGCCCAUUGAGCACUUGACCCAUAUGAACUUCGCAACCUCUGUGUCUUCAUAUUAACUUUGUUUCUAAAGAAUUUAAGGCCACUCUUGGUAAAUUCUAGUGCCUUCUCUCUACAGAUAUCCAGUGAAUCUCAAGAAUCUUUGGAGAAACAAGUUCUUUGCAUUCAAAAUGUUUAAGAAAAGUAGAGACUUCUGGGAAUAUAUCUUUCAGAUUUAAUUCUUCCUGAAACUCUCCUCUCUUCCCUACUCUGCAGGGUCUGGCAUGUCAACGAUCAGUGCCAAGCUGCCCUGGACCUUUGAAAGGCUCCAUUUAAAUUUAGCAAAACCUCUUUCAUUCUGAGUCCUUGUAGAGAAGCACAGUGUAAAUCAUUGAAAAGCCUAAAUUAGAUAAUUUUUAAAAGAACGAUAGCUUCAUUAUUUUCAAGUACACAGAGUAACUCCAUCUCAUCCAUGAAGUGUUCCUUUGUAGAAGCCCUUAGAGACUUUUCCUUAAUGAAUGGAUUAUAAUUAUUGGUAAUCAGCAUAACAGUUCUCUGUGCUACGUGCUUCAAAAGGAAUUGACCAUAUUAAGUGAUUUUGAUGUUCCAGAGGGCAAUUUUAUUUACAACAUUCAUCUGCUCAGUGUAUACCCUUUAUAGCUAUAAACCUCUGUUUAAAAAAAAACAAAGAACAAAAAACUUUUGAUGGCUCUCUCCAUCAUAUAAGACAUUUGAUUACCAAAGGCAGAAAUAAUGUAGGAGGAGAGACAUACAUAGUGGGGCUCAUUCUUUACCCAUGGUGUCCUGACAGAAGAACCCCAGGAACCCCAAGUGCAGCCAAUACAAACGCUGAGCUUGAUAAAAGAACUUUACUGAGUUUCCAUUCCUCCGUAAUAUGGGGCUGAUGUUUACUUUGCAGGGCUGAUAUGAGCACUAAAUGAGUAUUAAUUAAGCUCUUCAUACAGUAAGUACUCAAUACAUGCUAGCUGCCUUUCUCUCUCUAGAUUGCUUGAUCUGUGUGGGAGGCUCAUGCCUCUUUAUUUUUUUUUUUUAUUUUUUUUUAUUUUUUAAAUUUUUUUAAUUUUUUUUAUUUAUGAUAGUCACAGAGAGAGCGAGAGAGAGACACAGGCAGAGGGAGAAGCAGGCUCCAUGCACCGGGAGCCCGUUGUGGGAUUCGAUCCCGGGUCUCCAGGAUCGCGCCCUGGGCCAAAGGCAGGCGCCAAACCGCUGUGCCACCCAGGGAUCCCUAAUGCCUCUUUAAUAUCACAGAGACCACCCAGUCCUGGUAGUGCCUCUCCAUUCCUUGCUGACCAAGAAACACAAACUUGCCCCUUCUCCACACCCACCCUGCACAGGAGACUGGUGGCUUGGCUUUGGAGGUGGUGCCAUUCUGCUGCUAUGGCCUCUGUCCCCAGCAUACCCCCGUCUGAGAAGAUGAGAACAUCCCUAGCCCUCUUUGCGGCCAAACACAUUGGACUUAGAGGAGCCGUGUUUGCUGAGUUUAUUGUUGUCAAUUGUGAACAUGUAUUAAGCAUUUACGAUGGGGCAUGAAGCUAUGUAAGCACCUUGUGCUGGAAGGUAUUCCUUCGUUUCAUCCAUUCUGAGAUACAUUUCUCAGCAUUGGAGCAUGUCUAAUACCGAUGUCUUAUCGGUGGUGCUAGACCAUGACUUGACAUCACUACUGUUGUCACCUGUGCAUGUGAAGGCUGGGCAUGCUCUUCUUAUUGUCACAUCCCUGUUGAGUAAAUGCCCUGUGAAUACCAUGUGUGUUAAAUGUACAUGCUAUUUAAAAUGUCUCCAGAAAAAAUUAUGCUGUGAUUUGGUACUGAAAUGAAAGGUUAUUUUUUUUUUGAAAGGUUAUUUUGUAUAUAGAAAAGUAUGGAAGCAGAGCAGUGUGGUUAAUUUUGGUCUCAAUGAAGUAAAGUUUUGCACUGAAGGAAUGAACAUGAGGCCGUAUCUCUUUGCAAAAUGCAAUCAAGGGCUUUUAGGAACUAAGAAAGAAAGCAAGGUAACCACUGGCAAAUGAGAUUUUAUUGACAUGCUGAGAUUCGUGCAAAAGGACUGCCUGUCAAACACCCAACAAGGCACAUGAAUGAAGGGAAAGCUAUCACAUGCCUUGGAAUAAAUGGAAGAAGUUUUAGUCGAAUAAGAGGCCUGGUGUGAUCGAUUCAUGCAAAGCACAGGACUAAUCAUUAAGGUGUGAACCAAUUUGUCAGAAACUUCAUGCUGACUUUGAACAGAAGCUGAUUAACUUCCAGGGGCCACAUGAUUCCAAAUAGGAAGAAGGUGAAACUAUAGCUGAAGUCAAAUGAGAAGUGCUGAUGACUCGGGGUUCAUAACAUGCCCCUAAUGCCUCUAAAAAAAAAAAAAAAGCCAGCCUGAAAUGCUCUUUGGAUAAGUAUAUGUUUUAGGGGUACUAGGACUUGUUUUAAUCCAACACAGACAUGGAAGUGACUGUCACAAGGGAAGAAGUCUGUUUGACUUACAGGCCUCUAGAAACAGGUCAUGAGGGAUGACUUGCUUCUAUGGGGAAGCACCUGGGUCACUCGGGAGAUAAGGGGAGCCGGGGGAAAUGUGGGUGAGAGCCUUUAUUGUGGUUUCUACAGGAAGGAACAGACAAGGCAAGCUGAGUAGGUUUGGGAUUGGCUAAUUGGAAUAAUUUUGAUGGGCUCUGGAACGUAGUGACUGUCCCUAGUUGUCUGAUACUUGGCUCUGAGGUAUUAGGGCAGCUGGAUAGUGGCCCAGGAUGUAAGAGCACUAUAGAGGAGGUGGUUGGGGUAUUGGCUCUGUAUUGAUUGGUUUGCAUAAAAAGUCACAUUCCCAGGGGAGUUGUUACUCUCUCUAGGAAUUAGCUAACUCUGGGAGGGGUGGUCCCUAGUAAGUGAAAUCCUAACAUGUCAAAGCAUCAAAAAUAAAAGGCAUGGUUAAUACAGUAUAAAAUAGUAGUUCCAACUAAUAAGAAAGCAUUGUCAUGGUAUAAUUAUCUGGGUUCUUUUUUGUUUGUUAGUGGCACAUCGUUGGUAGUCAGCCUCCAAGAUGGCCCACAGUGAGCCCACCUCUUAGGUUCAUGCUCUUGUGUAGUUCCCUCUUACAUUGUAUCUGGGUUUCUCUGUGUGACUACUACAAUACAGCAGAAGUGUGAGCAGGUCACUUUCAAGCCUAGGUUAUAAAAGGCAUUUCAGGGCUAGGCUUCCACAUCCACUCUACUUCCCUUGAAUCAACUCACUCGGGGAAACCAGCUGUCAUGAGGAUAUUCAGGCAACCUUCUGGAGAGACUCACUUGGCUUCUUGCUAAUAGCUAUGUGAAAGAGACAUUUUGGAAGUGGAGCCUCCAGCCUCAGUCAAGCCAACAGAUGACUGCAGCCUUGUGGGAAACUCUGAAUAGGAACCACUCAGCCAAGCCACGCUUGGUGUGGAGUCGGCUUGAGUUUCUCUCCCUCUGCCCCUCCCCCCCAAAUAAUUAAAUCUUAAAAAAAUUAUCUUUCUCCCUCCCUCUGCCCCUCUUGCUCAUGUACACAUUCUGUCUAAAAUAAAUCAAUCUUUAAAAAAAAAAAACCAACAACAAAACACCUAGCCAAACCACUUUCAGAUUCUUGACUCUCAGAGAUUCUGUAAGAUAAAUGUUGUUUUAAGCUGCUGAAUUUUGGGAGUAAUUUGUCAUAUAAUAAUAUAUAAUUAAUGCAAAUAAUGGUGUGUUUUGCAAUAUGAAACCUUGUAUUUGAAAAAUGCCAUAUUAUCCUCAUUUUAUAAAUAAGGAAACUGAUCUCAGAGAGACCAAGUGAUGUGCUCAUCAUUACUAGUUAGUGGCAGGUAAAACUGUAAUGCAUCCUGUGUAAUAAUUAAUUUAAAUUUAUAUAGGUCUGGAUAUAGAUAGGUCUAAACUGGUAUUUUACUGAUUACCAAUAACAUUAAUAGGAAAUUCUGCUGUUUUUGUGCUUCUGUAUCCACUCCCUCCCUUAUAAGGAGGAUGACCAACAAAAGUAUCUUUUAUUAAAGGUUGAAAAUAUAUUCCACAUAUUUCUCUCUUUA
rnacentral:lncRNA from 1 species